CCCAUUUCUAAUGCUACAGAUGAGGAAAACUAACAAUUACUCGUCUUCUCCCUUAGGAAUGGAAACAUUCUGGGCUAGCUCAGAUAUGGAUAGCUCCAACCUUUUGCAAGAUAUUGAAGACCUGACUGUUUCCCCAAGUAUAUAGAUCAGUAAGACAGAAGCAAAGAAGAUCUUCAUAAGGAGGAGGUUGGGGUCAAGUGCCAAAAAGCUGCAAGGAAAUACUACUGCUAUCCUUGUUACAGUUCUUCUUCAACUCCCUUGUCCCUGUACUCGCUUUUGGAAGCAACGAGACAUGGAGGUUCACAAACAGUUCAAAAGAGUGCUACAAUUGCAAUUUAAUUAAAUGCAUAUUCCUUAUAAACCAUCUGUUAAAAAAAAAAGCAGAAAAGGAACCAAUAAAUUAU